rnacentral:rRNA from 1 species
GAUGAACGCUAGCGGCAGGCUUAAUACAUGCAAGUCGAGGGGUAGCAAGAUUGUAGCAAUACAAUUGUUGACGACCGGCAAACGGGUGCGGAACACGUACACAACCUUCCUACAAGUGGGGAAUAGCCCAGAGAAAUUUGGAUUAAUACCCCGUAACAUAGCGAUGUGGCAUCACAUUGCUAUUAUAGCUUCGGCGCUUGUUGAUGGGUGUGCGGCUGAUUAGAUAGUUGGCGGGGUAACGUCCCACCAAGUCUACGAUCAGUAGCUGAUGUGAGAGCGUGAUCAGCCACACGGGGACUGAGACACGGGCCCGGCUCCUACGGGAGGCAGCAGUAAGGAAUAUUGGACAAUGGACGCAAGUCUGAUCCAGCCAUGCCGCGUGAAGGAUUAAGGCCCUCUGGAUUGUAAACUUCUUUUAUAAGGGACGAAAAAAGGUCUUUCUAGAUCGUCUGACGGUACCUUAUGAAUAAGCACCGGCUAACUCCGUGCCAGCCGCCGCCGUAAUAC